rnacentral:tRNA from 1 species
AUUUAUAUAGUUUAUUUAAAACAUUAUAUUUUCAUUAUAAAAUCAGAUUCUAUCUUAUAAAUA